UGGCACCUCGAUGUCGGCUCAUCACAUCCUGGGGCUGAAGCAGGUCCCAAGGGUUUGGCUGUUCGCCAAUUAAAGUGGUACGUGAGCUGGGUUUAAAACGUCGUGAGACAGUUUGGUCCCUAUCUUUCGUGGGCGUAGGAUAUUUGAGAGGCUCUGUUACUAGUACGAGAGGACCGUAAUGGACGAACCUCUGGUGUUCCAGUUGUCGCGCCAGCGGCAUAGCUGGGUAGCUAUGUUCGGAAAGGAUAACCGCUGAAAGCAUAUAAGCGGGAAGCCUCCCUCAAGAUAAGAUAUCCCCU
rnacentral:rRNA from 1 species